rnacentral:misc_RNA from 1 species
GGGUAUUACGAUGCUGGUGAUAAUGUGAAAUUUGGUUUGCCCAUGGCAUUUACUGUUACAAUGUUGUCAUGGAGUAUUUUGGAAUAUGGUAGACAAAUGGCUGCUAGCGGUGAACUUAGCCAUGCUAUGGAUGCUGUUAAGUGGGGUACUGAUUAUCUACUCAAAGCUCAUCCCGAACCUUAUGUUCUUUACGGAGAGGUUGGUGAUGGUAAUACAGACCAUUACUGUUGGCAAAGACCAGAAGAUAUGACUACAUCAAGAGCUGCUUAUCGAAUCGACCCGAACCAUCCCGGGUCGGAUCUUGCCGGAGAAACAGCCGCCGCCAUGGCGGCUGCUUCCAU